AUUGAACGCUGGCGGCAGGCCUAACACAUGCAAGUCGAGCGGAUGAAGGGAGCUUUCUCCUGUCUUCAGCGGCGGACGGGCGAGUAAUGCCUAGGAAUCUGCCUGGUAUUGGGGGAUAACGUCCGGUAACGGGCGCUAAUACCGCAUACGUCCUUAUGUUGAAAGUGGGGGAUCUUCGGACCUCACGCUAUCAGAUGAGCCUAGGUCGGAUUAGCUAGUUGGUUGGGUAAAGGCCUACCAAGGCGACGAUCCGUAACUGAUCUGAGAGGAUGAUCAGUCACACUGGAACUGAGACACGGUCCAGACUCCUACGGGAGGCAGCAGUAGGGAAUAUUGCGCAAUGGGCGAAAGCCUGACGGAGCCAUGCCGCGUGUGUGAAGAAGGUCUUCGGAUUGUAAAGCACUUUAAGUUGGGAAGAAGGGAAGUAAGAUAAUCCCUUGCUGUUUUGACGUUACCAAAAGAGUAAGCACCGGCUAACUUCGUG
rnacentral:rRNA from 1 species